GAUGAAUGUAAAUGUUACAAAUUAAAAUGGGCCUAACAGGCCUUGAAACAUCUUAUCGUCUUCUUCUUCUUUCUUCCAAUAUUGAAAUUCAGCUCCAAGUGGUAGUUGUCCUGAAUUCAAAAAUGAAGGAAUUAAUUUGUUUUUUGGACUUUUUUCUGCACUGAUAAGUCCAAGUCCACGUCCACACAUGACCAGUUGGCUUGCUUGUGGCCCAAACGCAUAUUAUAAGUUGAAAAUUUUGAUUUUCUUUGCUGUGAAACGCGUUAAAUUGACUGAAAACGAAAGGCAACUACACUUGGGUUGGGGGUUAUAUAAACUGGGGGGUUAAACACCCAUUCUGAAUCAUUGAAAAACAAAAAUGAAUUUGAGGAAGUUGGUUGUUUUUUGUAAUGUUCUCUUGAUUUUUAUCAUUUUUUUAGCUUUUCAAGUGGCUGCAAGGGAAUUACUUGAGCAUUCCACCACUCGUGUCACAGGUAAGAUGGAUAGGGAGUUCAAACAAACCAAUAAUGCUGAUAAUCCCUGGGGCCACGGUUAUAUUCACAAUUGAAGAUGAUGUUGUUUCAUCCUAAUCUUACCGUUUGGUGUGGUAUUGAGUCCUUUGUGGUUCACUACUACUCUUUUCAAAUAAUUGUAAGAUGGUACGUUGUAAAACCAUGAUGGGUUAAUAAAAUUCAACUCAAGGGUUUCCAAGGCUCUUGUUUUUAAUUUGUUUGUCCCCAUCCUUUGGGCUAGGUUUUGUGUUUCCUUUCCCUGUUUGGUUUUAUGGAAAAUAUUUGUAACAAUAUAAUAAUAAAAUAUAAAGUAAAUGGUGGGAGA